CAAGAGCCUGCCGAGGACGCAGCUGCUCGCGGUGCCACGAGACGCCGAGGCAUUCUGCAUUGGGCUAUUUUUUUUUAAAACAUCAUGACUGUGCUUCUAUAUCCAGGCACAGUCACCGCUUCUUAGAGCUCCAGCUUGGCAUCACUCAACACACAAGCAAUGGUGCUGGUGGCUGAGAUUUGUGUGGUCUCCGCAAUUAGUGUGGUUACCAGGGAUGGCAACAGAAGUGAUAUUCAGCAGCCAGUGGGAGAAGAGGUGGUCUUUGCAGUUGUGAAUGGGAGAAGAUCCACAGGACAAUCUCCUCAUGAAGAGAAAUUUCUGCUGCCAUGCAUUAUUAUUGCUGAAGACAAAGGAACAAACAAACAAG